UCGUAACAAGGUUUCCGUAGGUGAACCUGCGGAAGGAUCAUUACCGAGUGCAGGUCUGCCCCCGGGCAGGCCUAACCUCCCACCCGUGAAUACCUGACCAACGUUGCUUCGGCGGUGCGCCCCCCCGGGGGUAGCCGCCGGAGACCACACCGAACCUCCUGUCUUUAGUGUUGUCUGAGCUUGAUAGCAAACCUAUUAAAACUUUCAACAAUGGAUCUCUUGGUUCCGGCAUCGAUGAAGAACGCAGCGAACUGCGAUAAGUAAUGUGAAUUGCAGAAUUCAGUGAAUCAUCGAGUCUUUGAACGCACAUUGCGCCCCCUGGCAUUCCGGGGGGCAUGCCUGUCCGAGCGUCAUUGCUGCCCUUCAAGCCCGGCUUGUGUGUUGGGUCGUCGUCCCCCCCGGGGGACGGGCCCGAAAGGCAGCGGCGGCACCGCGUCCGGUCCUCGAGCGUAUGGGGCUUUGUCACCCGCUCGAUUAGGGCCGGCCGGGCGCCAGCCGGCGUCUCCAACCUUCUAUUUUACCAGGUUGACCUCGGAUCAGGUAGGGAUACCCGCUGAACUUAAGCAUAUCAAUAAGCGGAGGA
rnacentral:misc_RNA from 1 species